rnacentral:rRNA from 1 species
GGUCUUGUAAUGGAAUGAUGGUGACUUAAACCCUCACCAGAGUACCAAUUGGAGGGCAAGUCUGGUGCCAGCAGCCGCGGUAAUUCCAGCUCCAAUAGCGUAUAUUAAACUUGUUGCAGUUAAAAAGCUCGUAGUUGAAUUUCAGCGUUUCGCGUGUGCCUCUUUUGGCCCAUCUCGUCUCGCUUUUUUUAUUACUUUGAGAAAAUUAGAGUGUUUCAAGCAGGCUUUUGUCUUGAAUACUUGAGCAUGGAAUAAUAGAGUAGGACCUUGGUUCUAUUUUGUUGGUUUUGUUACCUUGGUAAUGGUUAAUAGGAACGGUUGGGGGCAUUCGUAUUUAACUGUCAGAGGUGAAAUUCUUAGAUUUGUUAAAGACGAACUACUGCGAAAGCAUUUGCCA